AGCUCCAAUAGCGUAUAUUAAAGUUGUUGCGGUUAAAAAGCUCGUAGUUGGAGUUCUGCCAGGUGACGCUCGUCCGCCCAAGUGGUGUGUACAGGGUGUGCAUCUGGCCCUUUCAAGGGGAACGUGUCUGCACUUCAUUGUGUGGUGCGAGAUCCUUGACCUUUACUUUGAGGAAAUAAGAGUGUUCCAAGCAGGCUCUCGUCGUGCAUAGCUCAGCAUGGAAUAAUAGCAUUGGACUUCGUUUCUACGCUGUUGGUUGCAAGAAGCGAGGUAAUGAUGAAGAGGGAUAGUUGGGGGCAUUCGUAUUUAACUGUCAGAGGUGAAAUUCCUGGAUUUGUUAAAGACGGACUACUGCGAAAGCAUCUGCCAUGGAUGUUU
rnacentral:rRNA from 1 species